rnacentral:piRNA from 1 species
UCCCUACAUUGAUCAAUGGCUGAGUUUGG